AUUGAACGCUGGCGGCAUGCUUUACACAUGCAAGUCGAACGGCAGCACGGGCUUCGGCCUGGUGGCGAGUGGCGAACGGGUGAGUAAUAUAUCGGAACGUACCCAGAAGUGGGGGAUAACGUAGCGAAAGUUACGCUAAUACCGCAUACGAUCUAUGGAUGAAAGCAGGGGACCGCAAGGCCUUGUGCUCCUGGAGCGGCCGAUAUCUGAUUAGCUAGUUGGUGAGGUAAAGGCUCACCAAGGCGACGAUCAGUAGCUGGUCUGAGAGGACGACCAGCCACACUGGAACUGAGACACGGUCCAGACUCCUACGGGAGGCAGCAGUGGGGAAUUUUGGACAAUGGGCGCAAGCCUGAUACAGCAAUGCCGCGUGAGUGAAGAAGGCCUUCGGGUUGUAAAGCUCUUUUGUCAGGGAAGAAACGGUAGAGGCUAAUAUCCUGUGCUAAUGACGGUACCUGAAGAAUAAGCACCGGCUAACUACGUG
rnacentral:rRNA from 1 species